GUGGCAGCCAUGGACACCCAACUUGCGAAGAGGAGGGGAGCGGGUGAGGAUUGAAAUGCAGCCG
rnacentral:SRP_RNA from 14 species